rnacentral:misc_RNA from 1 species
GAUGAAGAACGUAGCGAAAUGCGAUACGUAAUGUGAAUUGCAGAAUUCAGUGAAUCAUCGAGUCUUUGAACGCACAUUGCGCCCUCUGGUAUUCCGGAGGGCAUGCCUGUCCGAGCGUCAUUGCUGCCCUCAAGCACGGCUUGUGUGUUGGGCCCCGCCCCCCGAUCCCGGGGGGCGGGCCCGAAAGGCAGCGGCGGCACCGCGUCCGGUCCUCGAGCGUAUGGGGCUUUGUCACCCGCUCUGUAGGCCCGGCCGGCGCCUGCCGAUCAACCAAACUUUUUUCCAGGUUGACCUCGGAUCAGGUAGGGGUACCCGCUGAACUUAAGCAUAUCAAUAAGCGGAGGA